rnacentral:lncRNA from 1 species
UUCCGUAUACCUCCGCUUUUUGGUUAGUAUGUCCUUCAUGAAUUUGGCAUACUUGGGCAUUUGUUCCAAGGCUUCGGCAAACGGAAUGUUGAUUUGCAACUGUUUAAAAAUAUCCAUGAACCGGGCGUAAUGCCGUUCAUUCUCCCUUUUGGAAGGAGCAUGAGGAUAAGGAAGGUUUUGGAUAGGAGUAGCGCUCACUACCUCCUUUCCCUUUGCAACUCUAGCACUUUUCCAUCUAGGCUUUUUCACUACCUCCCUUAUUACCUCAUCACUUGUAUUUUUUUCCAUCUCCACACCUUUCUCUUUUUCAACUUCACCAUUAUUUUUAUUCUUUUCAACUUCUUCCUCAUCACUCCACACUCCUACUUCACCAUCAACAUUUUCCUCCACUAUUUCCUCCUCAAUUUCUUUCUCUUUCUCUCUUUGUUCACUCUCAACUCUUUUUUUAUUCUCACUAC